AAACAAGUUGCUUUCUUUUCAAGCUGUGGAUUCCAUCAACUAACUGGAAUGGCCUUCAUGUAUUUGGCAACAGAUUCAGGACUGCCCUCCCCCUGUCCCUUCAAAAUAUUGGAGGAGAAUUAGGAUGGUCUAGCAGACAGAGCGCGAGAGACUACAGCUCACUGAAAUUGCUCUCCAGGAUCGUGGAAGCAGGAGAGAGCAGCAUGGCUGGAACAUGGGGCAGGAAUAUUUUGACAAAAAUAUACAUCCAGAAGAAGUCGGUCCAAGAGUCCACCAUCCCUCCUAUCUGUGGAAUUCCAGGUAUAGCAAGUAUUACUAACAGUAGAAACAAAGCUGCAUUGGGCCUUUAACUUCAGGUAAUUGGGAUCCGGAGAUAUGGAUCACUC
rnacentral:lncRNA from 1 species